GCUGGCGGCGUGCCUAAUACAUGCAAGUCGAGCGAACAGAUAAGGAGCUUGCUCCUUUGACGUUAGCGGCGGACGGGUGAGUAACACGUGGGUAACCUACCUAUAAGACUGGAAUAACUCCGGGAAACCGGGGCUAAUGCCGGAUAACAUUUAGAACCGCAUGGUUCUAAAGUGAAAGAUGGUUUUGCUAUCACUUAUAGAUGGACCCGCGCCGUAUUAGCUAGUUGGUAAGNUNAUGGCUUACCAAGGCAACGAUACGUAGCCGACCUGAGAGGGUGAUCGGCCACACUGGAACUGAGACACGGUCCAGACUCCUACGGGAGGCAGCAGUAGGGAAUCUUCCGCAAUGGGCGAAAGCCUGACGGAGCAACGCCGCGUGAGUGAUGAAGGGUUUCGGCUCGUAAAACUCUGUUAUUAGGGAAGAACAAACGUGUAAGUAACUGUGCACGUCUUGACG
rnacentral:rRNA from 1 species